rnacentral:lncRNA from 1 species
CCAGACAAGCAGUCAUCAUCAAGAAUCAAGUCGACAAUCUACUGGCAAAUCCUUUUCAAUCCUUGUUAUAUGAAGAGAAAUUAUAGAUAAAAAUGUAUCGGUGCUCAUCGGCCAUUGGACAUAAACAUUACACAACAAGUUGGGAAUCACAAAUUCAACAAUGUGUGGUUUGGAAAGAAUCAGUGGCUAACUGCAACCGUUGAAAAGCAAUUAUCUAGCCUGCUAUUCAGUAAAGGUGGUCCAAGUCUGGGUUUAAGGAUCUCUUUUCCAAGCUUUAAAGGAUAAACAUUCACAUGCAACACCAUGGGCAAGAAAAGGUUGAAUACAUUGGCCAUGCUGUCAAUCCAGCAUGACUUCUGCAGCGUUCAAAACAACUGGAAACUCGGAACUGGGAAAUCUCAGACUUCCGUGAGUUCAAGAGAACUGGGAACUCCACCGACUUGCAAGGUAGCCUUGUGGUUAGAGCGUUGGGCCAGUAACCGAAAGGUUGCAGGAUCAAAUCCCUGAGCUGACAAGGUAAUUAGGCCCCUCAGCAAGUCAGUUAACUCACUGGGUGCUGUGGAUGUUGAUUAUGGCAGCCCCUUGCACCUCUCUGAUCCAGAGAGUUUGGGUUAAAUGUGGAAGAUGCAUGUAGUUGUACAACUCACUAGGUAUCCCCCUUUCCCUAUUCAAGUGAGCACAACAAGCAGUAAAUGAGGCUGAAUGAACUAUUCGCUGCCAGACAAGGCUCCGCUGAUAGCCAGGUGUAGCGGUGGUAAGUAUUCACUCUAUAGUGCUGAAAAUAAAGCUCUGCUGUUGGGAAAGCUUUAUGUAGGCCCUAACAGUUUGUGGGCACCGUUUGUUACCGUUUUAGUGCAAUUAAUGUUAUGUUUAGGGUUGGGUUGUGUAGUGGCUUUGCUGGCAUGCAUCUAAACAUUUUUUUUUGCCCCACCAAGAUUUAAGCUACAUGCUAAAAUCACCACUGGCUGGGUACACAGUGCAUCUUAAUUAUGUUCAAAGACCUGUGACAGGACACCAUCCUGGGAUCAUCAAACGACAACACAGAGUCAAGCUCCAUCUCACAGGGCCUGUGUCAAAUAAUGAAGAAUCCGUAAGGGGCACACACCGCCGCUCGCCGAUUCUGUCUGCUUCACUUUCUGCUCCGCUUUCUGCAAAUGAAUAAUUUGGUGGUUAUCAAAACAUCUGCACAGGUGGCACAGCGAGGAGUGCUGGAAAUCAAUUGGCUCCGCCUUUUCAGAUAUGAGAGAGAGAGAGAGUGUGAGAGAGAGAGAGAGAGAGAGAGAUAAAAAGGGUCCAUCCCUAUCGAGCUGUGGGAUAAAAGCCAUCAUGCCUGUUUGACCCACCAGGGGCAGUUAUAAACUGGGAACACAAGGCGACAAAUUGCAAUAAUGCUGUGUUCGUAACCAAGUGGGAAGUGGGAAUUUAUACAUACGACUGGGAAAAAUCCACUUGAACAGCCCUCCAACUGUGGGAAACUUGUCUAUCAUCCAGAGCUCCCACAUGCUGACUUCUGAUGUACAAUACAAUGCCCCAUUUUGACAGUCAGACGCACUCUGAAGGCCUCUUGUCAUUGCCAUAAAAUGACUCUGAUUUUUGUGCUAACGUUUUGCAUCUGACAGACAAUACCUGCUGCAGAGAUUUUUACAACCAUUCUUCUGGCUUUUUUUUUUUCAUUCUGAGCUGCUCCGGUGAAGCAAAGGAAGGGCUUUGAGAUUUGUCAGUUAAGAUGAACAUUGCCUGGAGGAGUUUCAGACUAGUUGUAUAAAAUGUGUGAUGGC